rnacentral:rRNA from 1 species
AGUGAACGCUGGCGGUAGGCCUAACACAUGCAAGUCGAACGGCAGCACAGUAAGGGCUUGCUCUUACGGGUGGCGAGUGGCGGACGGGUGAGGAAUACAUCGGAAUCUACUUUUUCGUGGGGGAUAACGUAGGGAAACUUACGCUAAUACCGCAUACGACCUACGGGUGAAAGCAGGGGAUCUUCGGACCUUGCGCGAUUGAAUGAGCCGAUGUCGGAUUAGCUAGUUGGCGGGGUAAAGGCCCACCAAGGCGACGAUCCGUAGCUGGUCUGAGAGGAUGAUCGGCCACACUGGAACUGAGACACGGUCCAGACUCCUACGGGAGGGAGCAGUGGGGAAUAUUGGGCAAUGGGGGCAAGCCUUAUCCAGCCAUACCGCGUGGGUGAAGAAGGCCUUCGGGUUGUAAAGCCCUUUUGUUGGGAAAGAAAAGCAGCAGGUUAAUACCCCGCUGUUCUGACGGUACCCAAAGAAUAAGCACCGGCUAACUUCGUG